rnacentral:lncRNA from 1 species
UAAAUAUCAAUAACUCAUCUAAAAAAACAUGUUACAUUUACAGGAAGAAAUUGAAAAAAGGAGGGGUUUUGUUGAACCCAAAGUGCGGCAAAGAACCAUUCUAAUUAAAUUUAGUUCAAAUUUGUUACCACUGCACAAAAAAUACCCAUUCACAUGCUUCUAUUUUGUCUUUGGUAAAACCAAAGUGUUUUGUGCUAUUUAGGUUUUCGUUUUAUGUCUGCAGAGUAAAAACUCAGAAGUCUUUAACGGAGAACAACGUAUCUAACAAGCUCUGCUUUCAAGCCAGGAUUUUAUCAAGGUAGUCACAGCUACUUACUUACUUUCAGCCAUUUUUUGUUUUAUUUUGUAAUUUGCAUUUGUGCAAUAAUUUGUGUUCGAUAUAUAGGUGUGGACGUGAAGCGUGUCGAAAACUGAUCGGCUUCUUUUUCACAUGUGACCAAACACUGACCGUGUACGAGUACCGAAAUGUUGGUAAAACAGAUGGAACGCACUGCCCUUUAUCGCGCGUGGUGUGCAUUUGAACAGAGGGAGGCCGUACUGCCUGCAGACAUCUCACAGGGUGCCGAGCUUCAUUUCUGUACAGACGGCCCACACCUCCCCCAAAGUCUGAGACAGCAGCCGUGCCUGACCCUCAGAGUUACUGAUGUGGAUGAUACAGCCAAGGGAGCCCUGCUGUAUGUACCACUCACACACACACACACACCCACACCCACACCCACACAUGUGCGCUAGUGAGAGGACUCGAGAGUGUUUCUUUAGCACAGAACUCAGUCUGGGGAAACUUUACAUCAUCUCUCUGAAGAGGAAAUCAACGAUCGAAAUGCUCUAAAGGAAAUUCAAGGUUAAUACACACAAACAUUUCUUAUUAAAAUGCAUAAAUAUUCAUCCAGAAUGUUUCUCACUCACACAAACCUGUUUAUAAGGUGACGUCAUUUUUAAUGUUAAAAUUGGAGCUGUC